rnacentral:rRNA from 1 species
GAUGAACGCUGGCGGCGUGCCUAAUACAUGCAAGUCGAGCGAACAGACGAGGAGCUUGCUCCUCUGACGUUAGCGGCGGACGGGUGAGUAACACGUGGAUAACCUACCUAUAAGACUGGGAUAACUUCGGGAAACCGGAGCUAAUACCGGAUAAUAUAUUGAACCGCAUGGUUCAAUAGUGAAAGACGGUUUUGCUGUCACUUAUAGAUGGAUCCGCGCCGCAUUAGCUAGUUGGUAAGGUAACGGCUUACCAAGGCAACGAUGCGUAGCCGACCUGAAAGGGUGACCGGCCACACUGGAACUGAGACAAGGUCCAGACUCCUACGGGAGGCAGCAGUAGGGAAUCUUCCGAAAUGGGCGAAAGCCUGACGGAGCAACGCCGCGUGAGUGAUGAAGGUCUUCGGAUCGUAAAACUCUGUUAUUAGGGAAGAACAAAUGUGUAAGUAACUAUGCACGUCUUGACGGUACCUAAUCAGAAAGCCACGGCUAACUACGUG